GAUGAAGAACGCAGCGAAAUGCGAUAAGUAAUAUGAAUUGCAGAAUUCAGUGAAUCAUCGAAUCUUUGAACGCACAUUGCGCCCAUUAGUAUUCUAGUGGGCAUGCCUGUUCGAGCGUCAUUUCAACCCUUAAGCCUAGCUUAGUAUUGGGAAUCGACUUUACUGUCGUUCCUCAAAUUCAACGGCGGAUUUAUAGCAAUCUCUGAACGUAGUAAUUUUUUUCCUCGUUUUUGAAAUACUAUAAACCUCAGCCGCUAAACCCCCAAUUCUUUUAUGGUUGACCUCGGAUCAGGUAGGAAUACCCGCUGAACUUAAGCAUAUCAAUAAGCGGAGGA
rnacentral:misc_RNA from 1 species